AGAGAGGGCGAAGAUGGUGGGCAGAAGACCGCAGGGAGAGGGAGAAGAGGCCAUGGGAACACACAGAGACCCACGGGGAAGACGGUCAGGGGACAAGGGAGGCAGAGUCUGGAGUUAUGCUGCCUACAGUCAUGGAAUGCCAAGGACAGCCAGAAACCACCAGAAGCUAUGAGGGAGAUUUUACCUGAAAGCCUCCUGAAGAAAUCAAUCACAUUCUACUUCCCUUUUGAAUUUUUGGCCUUGUGGGCUGUGAAAAAAUAAAUUUCUAUUGUCUUAA